rnacentral:lncRNA from 1 species
UGCUGACCCGCCGAUGGCACCCACAAGCAGGACUCAAUGCACAACCAAAAGACUCUUCACUGAAGACGAACCGCAAAAAUGUGAAGGCGGAGGUCUGGAGAGCUGAUACGGAUCAGAACAAACUGUCAGUGACGGCUGAGACGUGGAAUAAAGACAGACCUGCAAACAUCAGGCGAGUAUCUGUUAGAGAAUCACAGCCGGCAGACAAACCCGAGGCUCAGGUAGACACGGGAGAACAGAAUAUUCAGGCAGAAAAUAUUCGUCAGCAAAACCGACAAACUGAACCGUGUUUAUCAGAAGCUAUCCAGCGACUCAUGAGUGAGAUAAAUAAGCAAACACACAUCCAGAUAUAGAAAGUAAACAGGAAAGAAAAUCAACACACAGGGGAAGCAUAAAGAGCAGAAAAACUCCAGGAAGGUAAGGAAGAGACACAACUGGACCAUGAAAGAUGAAAAUAUGUGAUCUGUCUCCGUUAAACAGUUUUGUUUUUUUAUAGCAGCUCUGUCUGAGAGCCGAAUACAGUCAGACAACUCAUGUAAAACACCGCUGCAACGAUACAAAAGCCCCUUCCUGCUCAAAUCUAUGUGUCCUCUCAUGUGUGUAAUCACAUCUGAAGUCUGCCCAAACUGUAAAACAGCUGACAAACAUUUCAGACGUGUAGGAGGUCAAGAACAUUUUCAAACAAGGAGACUCGAGCAUGAAAUGAUCAUGAAACAACGGCUAUUCUAGCGGAAAUUUUUCCCGUAUUUCAAACCUGUUUAGACUCAAAAUAAAAGUUUAAUCUAAAGUUGGUCUGCUCAGCUCAUGGUAGGAGAAGUGGUUGACCUGUUCUUGACUGGUUUGGAUUUUUCAGCUUUAUGUGCUUCACAUAGGUAGGUACUGUACCAAAACAAUCGACAAACACAUCAGCAAAAUGGAUUGUCUAUCAAACGAUGAAAACACAGACAGAUUUACAUCUCUUUUUUACAUCCCGUAACUUCCUUAAACACAUUUAUAAGACGUUCAACUUUUGAGUCAAAGCCUGAGGUGCAAACUGAGGAGCAUGCCCAGAACACUCACGCUAGCUUAGGUCAGAUUGAGGCGUACAUAGAGGAGACAAAAUCAAUUCCCAAAUGCAUUAUUGGGGUAUGUUAGUCCGACUUUAAGAAAUGUACCCAGGAUUUCCGCCACAUCCAGAACUGCAGCGAUUUUCGCUGUACGCCAAUUCCUACCGGGUCCAUUUGUGAGACUAAUUUCGUGGCGGAAUAUGGUCACCAGGAAUUGCAAGGACUUAGAAGAAUCCGCGGAUUCACGUGUAAUUGCGCGAUAACAAGUUGUCUCUAUAAAGACAGACACAUAACCAUAUAAGGAAAUGUACUCUAGACUUCUAAAAUCAGCAUUUCCUCAUUCAUGGUGUCAUCGGGGCGACAUGACGUCUGUAAACCUUUCACUUGUUCGUCUCCGCCCAUUUGCACGGUGUGAAAUACGAUCCACCUGAAACACGGGGUGUUUUAUUUUGAAAAGGAGCCAGAUGUUUUAUUUUGUGUCUGUGCCCGACUUCCUUUCCAGCACGGGUUAAUCUGUGCUGAGUUUAUCAGGUAUGCUGCACUGUCCGGAAAAAAUGGAACUCUUGCGAUCAGCUGCGGAGUCCGGCAAUCUGCAGAGGAACGGAAAGAAGCCGGUGGAAAUUGACACGUUAACUUGAAUGGUUAUGAUCAUCUACGACCGGCGGAUACGGCCUUUUCGUAGCCGUUCUGGAUGCAGUGGAAAUUGGGGGUUAAUGUGAUUCUAGUCGGGCAUGUAUUUAAAAUUCCAGAAAAUUACCACAUAAGCAUGCCCUACCAGCAGGUGGCGAUAAUGAGCAAUCAUUCUGUCAUGUCCAACAUGAAUAGAGAACAGUUUGUUGUACAGAGAGGUGAAUCAUCACCUCCAGAGGCUUUUUUUUUUUCUUUAUAAAGCUCAGUUUUUAGCGUCCUUAAACUUUCAUGUGACAAAAGGCCAAAACUAAGAAAAAAACACCUCUGUACUUGCUUGAAGUGACUCGCUUCUUCAACAUAAAACUGUUCCUAUAUGUGAGCAUUAUUUGUUCACAGCUUGUAUAUUUAGACGUGUUCUUAUUUCUGCCUCUUAGUGCGGCGGUAACACUAUUUCCCUGCAGGGUUGCAUCUCUUCCGAAGACUGGUGCUGGCCUCCCCUGCCACCAGAUUACACAGCUCUUAAAAGUAAAAUGUCAGAGUCAGAAAUGUUUGAUAUCUCCAUUCAGCUCUGGAUAAAACGUCCAGGGUCCUAAGGUAAAAAAGGGACGCAACAGACCUCCCUUUAGUUCUACUAAUGCUGCCCUGAGAGGGAUUAGGAGAAAAAACAGGACAGGAGAGAAACGCGAUGGAGGAUUGGGGACAAGCUGAAGGUACUUAAUUUAACAUGAAGACCAGCAUACAAUAUUUAAAGGUGAGGUACUUUUUUUCAAUGUAGCCGGCAGUUUAUCUCCACAGAGAAGAAGGUAAUCCUUCACAAUCUGUUAAGCUGGUGUCACUUGAUGGUGUUUCUUCUUUCACAGAGAGAUGUAGAGUUUAUUAUCCUUAAAAAAUACAAUCCAAGCGCGGCCCGUCAGAUUCAGAGGGAGGAGGAAACCUGUGAUGAGUCAAAAAUAACCCAUGCAGGAGGGUUUUAUUCACCGUAUUCAGUCAUAGUUGGUUUUCCUCUCAUGUCACAUUCAGGUGAGAAGCUGUUACAGAAUUAUACUGCUGUGUUUCAGGUGUGGACAUCAUGAGUUUUCAGAGAGAUAUGGAUUAUUUUGCCUUUUUUGGGCUCAUUGGCUCAUGAAAAGAGAGAACAGUAAAAAUCCUGAGGGUUAAGGUUGUACAUUUAAACUGAAACUACAAGAAACUACACAUCAGCAUUUCUAACCUUAACCCCAACCCUGGACCCCUAAUUCUGUAAGCCUAACCCUGACAUUUACCCCUUUUAUCUAAACCCUGAAUUCUAACCAUGUUAAUCCUAACCCCAAUCCUGAAAACCUAACUCUGUAACCCUGACCAUCUAACCCUAAUUCUAACCCUUACUUUCACCCCGUCUUAUUCUAAUCCUGAAAUGUAACCCUGAAACCCAGAGCUUAACUCUCUAAACCCUAACUUCAACCCUUACCUUUACCCGUCUUAUCCUAACCCUUGCCCUAACUCCUGUCUAACCUUUAGCCUCUAACCCUAACUCUAACCCUUACCUUUACCCCUGUCUUACCCUUGCCCUAGGCUCUGUCUAACCCUUACCUGAUUACUAACUCCUAACCCUAACUUCUGUCUAACCCUUACCCCUGCCGAACCCUAACCCUAACCGGCCAACCCAAUCAUUAAUCCCAACCCAAACUUCUUUCCAUCCCUAACCUUAUUACUAUACCCUAACCCUAACCUCUAUCUAACCUAGGCCUGUCACGAUAACAAAUUUUGCUGGACGAUAAUUGUGCGACAAAUUAUAGCCGAUAAACAAUAUUAUUGACACCGUUUUUUAAAUUAUAGAUAAUGAUAUUAAAUGGCAUAAUAAUGCGAGUGCACCGUGUCAAAAGUGACAAACUUUAAUUUCCACACGAGAUAAACACUGGUUGUUUUCGUUGACUAAAAUAUUUCCCUUUUCUCCCACGACGAAGACGUAACGUUGACGAGCUAAACAUAAGUCGGAGAUGACUAAAAUGUGACGAGACGAAAGUGCGUUUACGUUGAUGGGACGAGACGAAAAUGACGAACAGAGUUGCAAAACUCAGUCAGUUAAACGCUAAACAUAUAGGAGCAGCUUCAGUCCGCUCUGACAGCUCUCAUCAGCCUGCUGUGCUCCUCCAACACAGACACACGCGCGCGCACACACGUGGAGUUUUGUGGUUGACGAAAACAAAACUGGUUUAAAGCCGAAAUAUUCCCACACUUGGGCUGCUGCGUUCGGUUUAGACACCAAAGCUGUCGUGUUCAUUCUGUUUGCUUGCUUUUCACUCACGACGCUCACUUGCGGCACUGUAUCCAAAAGUCUGUGUCUGUGUGCCUGUGCGCGCCUACGUGUAGCUGUGCGCGCGCCCCCUCGUGACAAAGACACUGAAUGACUGACAGGAGGGUUCACUAACUCCGUUCAUUCCGCUAUAGAGCCAACGCCCCCAGGUGCCGAGAAAAAUGCGCAGAGUGAGACCUCUUCUCUCAACCAGCGUGUUUGGUAGUGAGAGAGGAGGAAAACAAACGCACGUCAAUUAUCGAGGCUGGCAAAAUGACCGACCUCGUUUUUAUUUAUCGAGCGAUAAGGCGAUUUAUUGAUUAUCGCGACAGGCCUAAUCUAACCCUAACUCUUGUCCAACCCUAACCCGCGAACCCUAACUCAAACCCUUUCCUUUACCCCUGUCUUACCCUUGCCCUAGGCUCUGUCUAACCCUUACCUAAUUACUAUAUCCUAACCCUAACUUUUGUCUAACCCUUACCCCUCCUGAACCCUAACCCGAACCGGCUAAUCCAAUCACUAAUCCCAACCUUAACUUCUGUCUAACACUAACCUGAUUACUAUAUCAUAACCCCAACCCUCAUCUAACCCUAACCCCUGUCCAACCCUAAUCUGCUAACCCUAUCAUUAAUCCUAACUCUAACCCCUGUCUAACCCUCUAACCUGAUCACUAAUCCUAACCCCAACUCCAAUAUAAUCCUUACCCCUGUCCAACCCGAUAACCUGAUAACUAAACCCAAACCCUAACCCUAACCCUGUCUAAGAUAACAAACACAGGUCAAACUUGUUGUAAUGUUUUAUAUCCACAGCUGUUUUUGGUUCCAACUUAAUUUACUAUCUAUUAUUUAACUGAACUGAAAUUGUUUAUUUUGAUCAGACUGAAAAGAAAUAAACUUAUUUUUGUUAAGUAUCUGAAAAGGAGAGAAAGUAACACCUAUAGUCAGACCCUUUUUAUCCACCAACAUAUAUAAUAAUCAUCUCUUAUCUGAUAAUUAAAUCUGUUUAGUAAUCGUCUUUGUUUAAUAAUAAUUCAUAAAUAUAAACUUAACAUUUAUAAGUUAAUCAUCAUAUAACUGAAGCUCAGAUGUAGCUUAGAAGCUGUUGAAUGCUAACGUUAUGUCAGCUGCUCUCUUUAAAAAGCUAAUGGGGUCAAAAAAUUUAAUACUUUAUUAUAUACUCUCUUAUACUGUAUGUCAUAAACGUCAUGUAAGGACGACCUGUCUUCUGUGGGAUUAAAUCAAACUCUACGUUAACAUGUUAGCAAUGUUAAUGUUAGCACCUCAGGGAAACUCAAACACUUGAAUCGACAUUUCAGACAUUUAUACAGUAAAUGAUUAAAAUUAUGUCCCUUUGUCCCUCUUUCUUUCCAUUGUGCACUAAAUUUUUGUAAGUCUCUUUCUACUGCUGUGUAAAUCCUGAACACAGUAGCCUUAAGUUAUAACAGUAUGUUAGCUCCUGAAGUAAUGGAGAAAUGCCUGCUGAGAAAGUAUAGUAAUUUUCUAUCAUUAAAGCAUGUUAGCGCGAUGUUACUUCCUCGAAGAAAGGAACAGGACGAAUCAAAAGUUCUGAAUCCAGAGACUUAAAUAUAAUUACUGAAUUUACCCAGCGCACACAGAGAGAUAAAGAGCAACAGGUCCAGAAAUACAGCAGUGAACCUUUAUGAAGAAGAAAGAGCCUGAGAAACAGAGAGGACAGAGUUCAGAUAAGGUGCAGUCUUCAUUUUCCUCCCUUUGGAAGUAACAGCCAACUUAUAAUACAAAGAGAGACUCUUCAGGCGCUGCUUCAGUGGCAUCUCAGCUCUGCUCUUUCAUCUCUGAACACUCAGCUGAAAACUGACACAACCUAAAAGGCACAUCCAGAGCAAAAAGGAGAGCUGAUGGGGUUCAGCUGCCGUUUGUUGUCUCAUUAGGUUGCUGUGUGUGUCUCUGCCUCUCGACCGGUGCUGUACUCUGGCACCGCUGAAAAACAGACUCUCCCCAUCACUCAAGAUCCAAGAUAUAUUCGACACGAGAGCCGUGGUGAGCUACAGCGAUUCUUCACUUCUCUCUUUCUUGUCACAGUUGUUAUGAGAGUAUCAAAGAUUUGUCAGUCAAAUGAGUCUUUCUUCUUCUGUCUCCUCCAGUCAAACGACACAGUGAUGACAGAACCUUUAUCCCCCUGAUGUUGUUAUCUGUGAGGCGCCAUUCCUGGAAAGAAGAAGUCGGAUUUACUCACUGAAGUCUCAAAGUUUGGGUCACGGGUCCAAGGCGAGUAAAAUCAUUCGCACAAAUGAGUUACAUGUUAAAGGGAUAUUCCGGCAUAAAAUUUAGUUGGGGUCAAACACACCAUAACACUGAGUUAGACACCCCCGCCAAGAGAUGAUGUCGCCGACCGCUUGCUUCUCUAGUUAUACCAACUUUAGUAACGACCGCAGGAUAGCCAUAAACCUCAACCAAAUCGCCACUCUAUAGCCACAAGUAAUGCUCAGAACAGCUCCUAACUUCAUCAACAGUCCCAGCAAAAGCAUAAGCCACCAAACAUCUUUUUAACUUUGACUAAUUUCUUUAGCAAAGAGACUAAACACAACUCACCUACUCUCUUCCAGUAGCCGUUUGUUUGUAGCGAGUCCUCAGGCCAGUCCAUUUAAGUCAAUGCAAAGAUGCGAUUAGACGCUCGUACUACUCUGGCGUCGCAAUAACCAAUCAGCACGAAGGUUGCCGGGUGACGUUUGAAAACAGACAGUUGUUCAAACUGAUCAUGUUGGUGUGUGGGUGCCCCGACUUACAUGAUACCUUUUCUUUCAAUUACCGAAACCAGAUUAAAAAGGAGCUUACCUUGAGGCAAGUGUGACGGCCUGAGGGUCUGUCUUUGGUGCAUCCUGCUUUCCCCUGUUUUGCUGGCUCUGUGUCUUGUUGAAGGUAGCUGUGGGUGGAGCUAACCUGAGAGAGCGCUUGAUGGUGAUGCGGCACACCUGAGCAGGGUGGGGCUCAGCUGGUUUUAAAGCUGAGCUGCACCACAGUCUGCUCUCUCUUCUCUCUCCUUUUUUGAGCCUUGUUGUGACAAAAUGGGGGCUCGUCCUAUUUACUACUUGCUUGGGUGAGUUUCUUAUACUGUUUAAGAAGCUUGUUUGUAUCUGCUGUUCCUCUAUCUUGGCUCUUGAGUGCAUUUGUAAGAGUUUUGGCUUGUGUUUGGAGGAUAGGGGGGUGGUUUUGAUCGGUGAAUUUAUUAGUCUUGUUAUGGCAUGUGCGAGGUAGUUUUGGGAGGCCUUGUAGUCUGUAUGAUGCUUUUGGUCGUGAAUGUGGUCAGCUUGGUUGGGGUUUCACAACUUUUAUUGGUUUAGGAUUUGUUUUGCCCUGCUUUAGUCCUCAUUAAGUCUCCACAAAUAACAACAAACCAUGUUUUAGCUCCCAAAUGGAGAGAGUUGAAACUGUAGAAACAUGAGGGGCAGUGGGCACCAGUCGUUAUCCCCUGACUACACCCCUGGAUCAAGUGUGAACUCCCAUUUUUUUAAGACGACGGUUUUUUGGAGGAACUUUCAGCCAAUGCCAUGCAAAGCAUCACAGUAAUCCCAUGGUUGAAAGUAAUAUGAAGCUUAAUUUCUUGCAAGAGCACAUUUUUUAAUAAUGUCAACAGAGACACAAGGAGAGAUCAAGUGCUGCCUGAGUGAAUUAAAGACAGGGAGUGCUCAAACGUCUCUGUGCAUGCAUAUUUUACUUUUUUCAUCGGUGCAUAAAAAUAUCAGGUGGAAUUCAAUCAUUUGGGUUAAAUUAUUGAAGAAAUACUUUGAUACUUAAAGUUCUGCAUCUUUGAAUAUGAACCUAUACGCUCUGACAAUAGAUACAGUGUAAUAAGUCUGUUGAUGAUGCACUUUAUCCUACUGAAUGCAAAGUGCUUGAGUGUCUUGAAAACCAAUUUGCAGGUUCCUUUGAGUUGCAGAUUGGAUCGAAGGUUGAGCAGAACAAAGAUGAAGAUGAUGGUGUGCAGCUGUUCCUGUGAAGCCCUUUCCUGCUUUUACCAGCUUUGAUGAGGAGCAUUGAUUAUGAGGGAUGAAGCUUCCUCUCUGCUUACCGUAACAUUUCAACAGCUUACAGUAUCUGCACUCCAACUCGUACCGCACUGCGCUGCGUAUAUAAUAACCAAUCUUUAAAGACAGCGGAUCUGCAUUGUGCUCCAUAAUCAGUUCUGCUGCGUAAAACGUGCGGUGAAAUGAACUUGUGGACGCAGAAAUUACACUGAAGCCAUAAUAUUGAUUUCAUUUCUCUCCGGCUGGUGCUGGGACUUGUUAAACAGGUGUCCGUUGAUGCUUUUGCAGAGUUAUUCCACGCUUUGCUGGUAAUGCAGAGGAAGAGUAAUGCGAGGAGACACAUCAAGGUCACCCUCUCCCCCUGCAGCCCCCGCAGAGGUGCAUCUUCACUGCCCCGCUGUCCCCGCAGCCAGCUGUGCAGGCCUGGAUGUGUCGGCCAGGUGUGAAUGAAUGUGAAGUAGCCGCAUGAAUGUGAAACAGGCUGUGACUGAUAAAGAACAUGAGGGCCUCGGGAAACUUCCCCUGAUGAAUAAAAUGUUAAAGGUGCAGUCUAAACAUCAAUAUAUCAAUGUCAGAGCAAUUAGAGCUCAGGAGAGCACAAUGGAGACGGCUGCCUGCAGCUCCGGCCUGCAGGGGAGCGCCUUUUAGAGGAUGAGACUAUUUUCAAAGGUGCUUUGUGAUUAAAGCUACG